CAAGCACCAAACCAGCGUGAACAAGCACCAAACCAGCGUGCGUGAGUGCAGAGUUGGAUGUGAACAAGCACCAAACCAGCGUGCGUGAGUGCAGAGUUGGAUGGUGAGACGUGCAUUGCAUGACGUGCAAUUUUGUGCCGUUCCUAACAGAAUAAAUCUACAUGACUGGUGCUACAUGUUGGAGUUCCGUGUCGAUGACUGAUUGUACACAACGCAAGAAGAGGUCUGUUACAUAUAAAACAUUAAGAACACCUGCUCUUUCCAUGACGACCAGGUGAAUCCAGAUGAAAGCUAUAAUCCCUUAUAGACGUCACUAGUUAAGUCAGUGU